GUUACAUUGCCAGCUGCAGCUGCACAUUCUCAGAAAUAGUGAGGGAAUAAUUGAAAACUGCACCAUAAGAGGUCCUUAUAAAGCUCCUACACUCUUUCUGCUGCCUUUUACAAAGGGUUCCCUGAGCCCUGAAGGGAGGGAUAUGAUGAAGACAUCUUGCUUAGGUCUGAGGGAUCCAAGUUCUCCCAUUCUCUGCAUAUUGUCUUGUGGUGCCUGCACCAUGAGCAAAUCCGAGGUAUCGGGAAAUGAACAACAAGACAUCCAGCUGUUUGUGCUAAGAGAAUGGGCAAAUAGAGAAGGAGGAGAGCAACUGUGAGUCUGGGAGCUUCAGAUCAAGGGUUCACAUAAAUGCUGCACUCUCAUUUCCAGGUCUUUACCUGUGACCAUGUAUACUGCCUUUCCAGCUGCCUCCAGUUAUGAUUCCUGUGCCUUGUUAUGGGUUUGUUUGUAUGUAAAGGAUAAAUAAUAUUCUUAAUGAUGUCCUGUGUAUUUGCCAAGUUUGCACCACAGAACUUAUGACAGAUUUUGUGCUUUAUUUCAAUUCUCUAGAAUGCAAAUUUCUUGGCCGUAGUAUAAUAACAAAAGACAACUUAUCUAAAUAUAGGCAAAUAUUUCUUUAUGUUUAAAAGAAGUUUUCCAAAGUUAACAAAUCUAAACCAAAUCCCCCAAUCAAAGCCCUGAGAGAUCAGCACAAUUCAAGUGAUAUGGGUGUGGAGGCUCAGCCCACACGUGGAUUAACUGUGCUAUCACAGAAUUGUCAUCCCAAGAGUCAUUUUUUAGAAGAGCAAAUUUGGCUCUCAGCAUUACUGGCCUUUCCUGGGCUCCUAUUUGUCUUUCCUCAUUUUAUUUUUCUUCAUCCCUUUUUUAUAGGUGAGGCAACACACAGGUGCUUGCCAGAUAAUAAAUCCUGAAUGUUGAAAUUCCAAACAUUCAGAGUUAUAAGAAUCAAAUUUUUCCUAUGUAGAAAUUAUCCAGUCUGUGGUAUUAUCUCAUAGUUGAAUAAAUGACAAAAGAAGUCAUCUCUUUUAUCUCUUCCUUGUUCCAUUCUUGUAUACUGCAUGCAAACCACUGACAUGCUAGUUUGUACCCCAAGGAUGGUUAUGCUUGAUUCUCAACUAUUUGCUACUUUGAAUGAAAUCCCAAACCCAAUGGGGCUUUCAGAAAACCAAAUCACAGUAAGUUGAAUGCCAUCUAGAAAACAUUACACUAGAUGAAUAGAAACAAAUAAUCAAUAGCUUUUCUCAAGAUUAUCUGUCUUUAUGUGUGUGACUUAGCCAAACACUUUGUCAUAAAUUUGGCCAUCUAACUCAAUAAAAGAGCUCCACUUUGUUACCA